rnacentral:rRNA from 1 species
UGGGGAAUUUUGGACAAUGGGCGCAAGCCUGAUCCAGCCAUGCCGCGUGCGGGAAGAAGGCCUUCGGGUUGUAAACCGCUUUUGUCAGGGAAGAAACGGUCUGUCUUAAUACUGCGGACUAAUGACGGUACCUGAAGAAUAAGCACCGGCUAACUACGUGCCAGCAGCCGCGGUAAUACGUAGGGUGCAAGCGUUAAUCGGAAUUACUGGGCGUAAAGCGUGCGCAGGCGGCUUUGCAAGACAGAUGUGAAAUCCCCGGGCUCAACCUGGGAACUGCAUUUGUGACUGCAAGGCUGGAGUGCGGCAGAGGGGGAUGGAAUUCCGCGUGUAGCAGUGAAAUGCGUAGAUAUGCGGAGGAACACCGAUGGCGAAGGCAAUCCCCUGGGCCUGCACUGACGCUCAUGCACGAAAGCGUGGGGAGCAAACAGGAUUAGAUACCCAAGUAGUCCCUGAGCGGGCUGGCAAGGCGCAU